CCAUUAUGUUGAGCUUUCCGAAUUUAUUUUUGAUGUAAUCUGCUAAAGAUAACAUUCAAAGGCCCAAUUCCGGGUUCUUCUCGCAAUUCUUCGUCUGCUUCGACUUCAAAUUCUUCUAUCCAAGUCCAAUCUGAUACAGUUGCUGUCGAAUAUAAUGAGUGGAAAGAUUAUCUUACAGUUCUCCCAUUUGUGGUAACUGUUGUAGCAUCUGUGUCUUUGAUUUCUAUAACUUCUAAGUUGAUCCAUGCAACUUCAGGAUCCUCAGCCCACACGUGUGAUCCGACUAUGAUGUUUACAGUAGUUCCCUGGAUCAUUGAAGAAUCACAAAAAAGGUAAUGUGACCAUUGUUUUACAGAGAAUAGAUUGAUCGAGUUAGUUGAAAAUGAAGAAGAUGAACCAUGAAAGCUUACCAUGAUUGUGAUUCUUCAAUGUGAUCAUCUAAUGCAAAAUGGCAAUGCAGAGAAGCCAAUGGAUUUUUGUUGUCUAGAGAGAGAAUGGCAGUGCUAGUAAGGAAUGAUGGAGUGAAGAUUUGCCGGAAAUAAAAAUUAGACAGAAUGUUGAAAAGAAGAGGAAAUUCCAGUGGUGGCAACUCAAAAGAAAAAAAGGCAGAGAUGCUGACUUGGCACCUUUUUUUUUUGCUCAUUCGACACAGGAUGCUAACUUGCCACCAAAAGAAGCAUGCCAGUUGUGUGUAGGCAACCCAAAGAAUUCAUGUGCAGUUGACGCAAGGGAUAGUUUUUAUGUUAAUGCUUAUUGUUGCAGCCAUCUGAUGAGUGGACCUUUUGCUUUGCCAAUGUUGAAGGCCUUUGGGUUCCUAAUUAUGGUUGUGCAUUGCUAAUGCCAAGCAGUGGGGAUUACUAGUUGUCAUUGGAGUGGUUAUAAAAUUAUGAAAGUAUCUUAUUACUUAAAUAAUUUGACAUUAAGUCAUUCCUUUUUGGAUGGUUGGAAGUUAAAUGGAUGUAAAUUUUGAAAUGAUUGAUAAUAUAUGUAUUGUUUUGUUUAUAUA